UACAGAGGGGGCAAGCGUUGUUCGGAAUUACUGGGCGUAAAGGGCGCGUAGGUGGCCUUCUAAGUUGAACGUGAAAUCCCUGGGCUCAACCCAGGAACUGCGUCCGAGACUGGGAGGCUUGAAUCCGGGAGAGGGAUGCGGAAUUCCAGGUGUAGCGGUGAAAUGCGUAGAUAUCUGGAGGAACACCGGUGGCGAAGGCGGCACCCUGGACCGGGAUUGACACUGAGGCGCGAAAGCGAGGGGAGCAAACGGG
rnacentral:rRNA from 1 species